rnacentral:rRNA from 1 species
AUUGAACGCUGGCGGCAUGCUUUACACAUGCAAGUCGAACGGUAACAGGCCGCAAGGUGCUGACGAGUGGCGAACGGGUGAGUAAUGCAUCGGAACGUGCCCAGUCGUGGGGGAUAACGCAGCGAAAGCUGCGCUAAUACCGCAUACGAUCUAUGGAUGAAAGCGGGGGACCGUAAGGCCUCGCGCGAUUGGAGCGGCCGAUGUCAGAUUAGGUAGUUGGUGGGGUAAAGGCGCACCAAGCCAACGAUCUGUAGCUGGUCUGAGAGGACGACCAGCCACACAGGGACUGAGACACGGCCCAGACUCCUACGGGAGGCAGCAGUGGGGAAUUUUGGACAAUGGGCGCAAGCCUGAUCCAGCAAUGCCGCGUGCAGGAAGAAGGCCUUCGGGUUGUAAACUGCUUUUGUACGGAACGAAACGGUCCUGGUUAAUACCCGGGGCUAAUGACGGUACCGUAAGAAUAAGCACCGGCUAACUACGUGCCAGCCGCCGCGGUAAGAC